UCUUCUCCGGCGAGUUCUCGACGAACCUCCAGCAAAGUUGACCAAACUUUGACCGCGAUUUCUGGGCUCGUUUGAACUCCGAUUUCCAGCGAGUUCCUGGCGAACCUCCGACAAAGUUGACCAAACUUUGACCGCAAUUUCUGGGCUCGUUUGAACUCCGAUUAGGUCGCUGUUUGGUGCGUUGGACUCCGUUCGACGAGACGAAUCCAAUGGUGCCAUCAGAAUUGGAUUUCGAGCAAAGCUCCGGAAAACCCAAAUUUGGCCCGUCACCUAAAAGACUCGACCAACGCUCUAACCUACUCUGAUACCACUUGUUGGGGUAUGUGGAUCGAUUGAGCGUUGGUAAAUACAAAUUUGAGAGAAAAACAACCUCUAUUACUCACAAG
rnacentral:lncRNA from 1 species